UACGGAGGGGGCAAGCGUUGUCCGGACUUACUGGGCGUAAAGCGUGCGUAGACGGUUAUUUAAGUCGGGUGUGAAAGCCCCGGGCUCAACCUGGGAAUUGCGAUGGAGACUGCAAGGCUAGAAUCUGGCAGAGGGGGUAGAAUUCCGACGUGUAGCAGUGAAAUGACGUAGAGAUGUGGAGGAACACCGAUGGCGAAGGCAGCCCCUGGGCGACACUGACGCUCAUGCACGAAGCGUGGGAGCAACAGGA
rnacentral:rRNA from 1 species